rnacentral:rRNA from 1 species
UACGGGGGGGGCAAGCGUUGUUCGGAAUUACUGGGCGUAAAGGGCUCGUAGGCGGCCAACUAAGUCGGAUGUGAAAUCCCCAGGCUCAACCUGGGAACUGCAUCCGAUACUGGAUGGCUUGAAUUCGGGAGAGGGAUGCAGAAUUCCAGGUGUAGCGGUGAAAUGCGUAGAUAUCAGGAGGAACACCGGUGGCGAAGGCGGGUCUCUGGGCCGAUAUUGACGCUGAGGAGCGAAAGCGUGGGGAGCGAACAGG